CGACCGGAAAUGACGGCAGAUAUCGGAAGUCGAGCGGCAGAGCGGUACCGGAGGCGGGAACCAACGGUUCGGAGCUAACCCGACUCCCUUGGCGGGAACCAGCCGAGUGAACGCGUAGAAAUUUCGAGACGCUCAGAACUCCGCGGAUGACACGAGAUUCUUCGGAUCGUACCUCCGGCGUGAGUCGAAGCACGAAGGACGAGAGAAUCGGGGAACGACUUCUCAGAAAUGCACAAAAAGAUAAGUUAUCCCGAGGAAGCAUCGGGACAACGUCGCUCUUGUGAUUUUAGAUGACGCGUGUGCGAGGAACGGAUCUCGUGCAUCCUCCUACGCCUCCACGUUUUUUCUAAUCUACGAAUACAGCAAGGCAGGACUGGACUCGGAGAUAAGGUUCGCCACUCCAUUCGGAAGACGACGGUCCACGACAGUCCAGCGAACCUCAACGUAUUUUCCGCACCAGAGAAAACUUUGCCCAACUGACCUGCAAGUUCAACAGCCGAAUGAAAAGAGCAACGGAGAGGCAUAUACCUACCUUUUAGGUGGGUUUCUAACUCGGAUUUCGGCUGGAAAUUACAAUUUGCCGAAACGGUCCGAGCCAGGAGCGUAGACCUGGUUUUACGUCACGAUCAACGAGGGGAUACGGCGAAA
rnacentral:lncRNA from 1 species